rnacentral:tRNA from 1 species
GCCGGGGUAGCUCAGCCGGUCAGAGCGUGGGACUCAUAAUCCCAAGGCCGCGGGUUCAAGUCCCGCCCCCGGCACCA